UCUUUUUCCUUUGGAACUCCAGAAGGAUUUCCCUGUUUGGCCAAGCUGAUUUUCUGCUCCACGUGCUUGACUUUUGGCACAGUGGAAUUGCCUCCUAGUAGACUGUAACCAUACAGAGUUAUGAGAACAUGUUCCUUAAGGAAGAUUGUAAGAAAACUCCACAAGUUGCUUUAAGGAACUUUUUCUGAAGGUAGAAUUGAGAUUAAAUCAGAAAAGGGACAUUGUGUUUGGCCCUGUCAUUCAAAUUCAGAAUUGUUUCAGAAUUUGGAGGUUUCUUGAUGGGAGUGGAAAGAUGUCCUGAUAUGUUUUUUUUCUCUUAGAGCAUUUGCAUUCUUCUUUUUGUCUUUUCUUCUUCCACUCUGCAAACUGUAUUUGAGCAGACUGUUUGAAUGCAUGCAGUGUGGCAUGGCAUCUUGGAAAACCCUCACGCUGUGUUGUGCUGCAGUUAUAAAUUGUGCUAUUUGAACUUGGGAUACCCUUGUGUGUAAAAGCAAAUAAAGACAACACCCAAAUGCUU